rnacentral:lncRNA from 10 species
UGCAGGCGGGCUGAGUCCGAAAAGAGAGUCAGCAAAGGGAGAUGGGGUGGGGCCGUUUUAUAGGAUUAGGGAAGGUAAUGGAAAAUUACAGUCAAAGGGGGUUUGUUCUCUGGUGGGCAGGUGUGGAUCUCACAAAGUACACUCUCAAGGGUGGGGAGAAUUACAAAGGACCUUCUUAAGGGUGGGGGAGAUUACAAAGUACAUUUAUCAGUUAGGGUGGGGCAGGAACAAAUCACAAUGUUGGAAUGUCAUCAGUUAAGGCUGUUUUUACUUCUUUUGUGGAUCUUCAGUUACUUUAGGCCAUCUGGAUGUAUACGUGCAAGUCACAGGGGAUGCGAUGGCCUGGCCUGGGCUCAGAGGCCUGACAUUCCUGCCUUCUUAUAUUAAUAAGACAAAUAAAACAAAAUAGUGUUGAAGUGUUGGGGCAGCGAAAAUUUUUGGGGGGUGGUAUGGAGAGAUAAUGGGCGAUGUUUCUCAGGGCUGCUUCAAGCGGGAUUAGGGGCGGCGUGGGAGCCUAGAGUGGGAGAGAUUAAGCUGAAGGGAGGUCUUGUGGUAAGGGGUGAUAUCAUGGGGAUGUUAGAAGAAACAUUUGUCGUAUAGAAUGAUUGGUGAUGGCCUGGAUACGGUUUUGGAUGAUUUGAGAAGCUAAAUGGAAGAUACAAGGUCCGAAUAAAAGGAGGAGAAAAAUGGGUAUUAAAUGUCUAAGAAUUGGGAGGACCUAGGACAUCUGAUUAGAGAGUGCCUAAGGAGAUUCAGCAUAGUCCUGCCAGCAAAGAUUAUUUACUUCAAGAGUUAAGAGUGGCAGUUUGGGGAUAGCACCAGGAGAUAUCAGCUGUGAUGGCUUGGAGAAACAGUGUAAACCGGCAGUGUAAACAAGAGCAGGGCAUGUAUGAGUAGUUGAGAACGGUGAAUAGGAGUAUGACUAGACAGAAGAUAGUAGGGAUGACAAGUUUUUUGGGGCACAGUCUAAGUUGGUCUGGUGUCUGGAAUGAGACUGGGGCCUAAUAAAAAGGAGCGUCUAUACAGGAGCUUAAAUGGGAUGUACCUUGUAGCAUUCUGAGGACAGGCCUGAUUUCUGAGAAGGGAAAGUGGUAAAAGUAUUGUCCAGUCCUUUUUAAGCUGGUGGCUGAGCUUGGUGAGGUGUGUUUUUAAAAGACCUUUAGUCCGUUCUACUUUUCUUGAAGAAGGAGGACCGUAAGGGAUAUAAAGGUUUCACUGAAUACUAAGAGCCUGAAAAACUGCUUGGCUGAUUUGACUAAUAAAGGCUGGUCUGUUAUCAGACUGUAUAGAGGUGGGAAGGCUAAACUGAGGAAUUGUGUCUGACAGAAGGGAAGAAAUGACUGUGGUGGCCUUCUCAGACCCUGUAGGAAAGGCCUUUACUUUAUUCAGUGAAAGUGUCUAUUUAGACUAAGAGGUAUUUUAGUUUCCUGAAUCAGGGCAUGUUGAGUAAAGGUAAUUUGCCAGUCCUGGGUGGGGCAAAUCCUCCAGCCUGAUGUGUAGGGAAGGGAGGGGGCCUGAAUAAUCCCUGAGGAGUAGUAGAAUAGCAGAUGGAACACUGAGAAGUUAUUUCCUUGAGGAUAGAUUUCCACGAUGGAAAGGAAAUGAGAGGUUCUGAGAGGUGGGCUAGUGGCUUGUACUAUAGCAUAACCUGCCUUUGCUGGUGUGUGGCGAUUAGGCCUGGUGGAACUUCCAUCAAUAAAUCAAGCGUGAUCAGGGUGAGGAACAGGAAAGAAGGAAAUAUGGGGUGAAUAUCAGGUGGAUCAGAGAGAUACAGUCAUGGAGGUCAGGUGUGGUAUCAGGAAUAAUGUGGGAGGCCAGAUUGAAGUCCAGGCCAGGAACAAUGGUAAUUGUGGGACUUAAGAAAGUGUGAGUACAGCUGAAGGAGCCGGGGAGCAGAAAGUAUAUGCGUCAGGUAUGAGGAAGAAAAUAGAUUUUGGAAGUUAUGAGAAAUGUAGAGAGUGAGUUGAGCAUAGUUUGUGAUUUUGAGGGCCUCUAACAGUAUUAAAGCAGCGGCAGCGGCUGCACACAGACAUGAUGGCUAGGCUAAAACAGGAAGGUCAAGUUGUUUGGACAGAAAGGCUACAGGGUGCAGUCCUGGCUCUUGUGUAAGAAUUCUGACCACACUAACCAUGCCUAGGAAGGAAAGGAGUUGUUCUUUUGUAAGGGAUUGAGGUUUGGGAGAUUAAUCGGACACGAUCAGCAGGGAGAGCACCUGUGUUUUUAUGAGAAUUAUGCUGAGAUAGGUAACAGAUGAGGAUGAAAUUUGGGCUUGACUGAAGUAAUGGGGGCUGUCUGUGAAGCCUUGCGGCAGUACAGCCCAGGUAAUUUGCUGAGCCUAAUGGGUGUCAGGGUCAGUCUAAGUGAAGGCAAAGAGAGGCUGGGAUGAAGGGUGCAAAGGAAUAGUAAAGAAAGCAUGUUUGAGAUCCAGAACAGAAUAAUGGGUAGUAGAGGGAGGUAUUGAGGAUAGAAGAGUAUACGGGUUUGGCACCACGGGGUGGAUAGGCAAAACAUUUGGUUGAUAAGGCGCAGAUUCUGAACUAACUUGUAAGGCUUGUCUGGUUUUAGGACAGGUAAAAUGGGGGAAUGGUAAGGAGAGUUUAUAGGUUUUAGGAGCCCAUGCUGUAGCAGGCAAGUGAUAACAGGCUUUAAUCCUUUUAAAGCAUGCUGUGGGAUGGGAUAUUGGUGUUGAGCGGGGUAAGGGUGAUUAGGUUUUAAUGAGAUGGUAAGGGGUGCAUGAUCGGUCGCCAAGGAGGGAGUAGAGGUAUCUUAUACUUGUGGGUUAAGGUGGGGGGAUACAAGAGGAGGACGCAAAGGAGGCUUUGGAUUAGGAAUAAGGGCGGCAAUGAGAUGCAGCUGUAGUCCAGGAGUAGUCAGGGAAGCAGAUAAUUUAGUUAAAGUGUCUCGGCCUAAUAAGGGAACUGGGCAGGUGGGGAUAACUAAAAAGGAGUGCGUAAAAGAGUAUUGUCUAAGUUGGCACUAGAGUUGGGAAGUUUUAAGAGGUUUAGAAGCCUGGCCGUCAAUACCCACAGCAGUUAUGGAGGCAAGGGAAACAGGCCCUUGAAAAGUAGGUAAUGUGGAGUGGGGAGCCUCCAUAUUGAUUAAGAAGGGGACGGACUUACCCUCCACUGUGAGAGUUACCUAAAGCUCAGUGUCUGUGAUGGUCUACAGGGCUUCCGAGGUGAUUGGGCAGCGUCAGUCUUCAGCCGCUAAGCCGAGAAGAUCUGGGAAGGAGUCAGUCAGAGAGCCUUGGGCCAGAGUUCCAGGGUCUCUGGGAGUCGCUGCCAGUCUUUUUUAGCCGAUUAUGGUCUCCUAACGUGUCCGGAAUUGGUGGAUUCUUGGUCUCGCUGACUUCAAGAAUGAAGCUACGGACCGUCACGGUGAGUGUGUUACAGUUCUUAAAGAUGGUGUGUCCGGAGUUUGUUCCUUCUGAUGUUCGGACAUGUCCGGAGUUUCUUCCUUCUGGUGGGUUCGUGGUCUCGCUGACUGCAGGAGUGACGCUGCAGACCUUCGAGAUGUUCCGGGGCUGAUCUUGAGACAGACACACCAAGCCUAGAGAUCCAGCUGCAAAGUUCCAGAGAUUACUUCAAGGUGGCUAGCCAACAACCCAGCCAUUGUGGAGAUGACAUCAGCCCAAAGGCCAGGUGGACUGGGACCCAAGACAGCCACCAGCAUAAGACACACAGACAUUUUGCUCAGCCCGAGGUCCAGGUGGACUGGGUCCCAAGACAGCCACCAGGACAAGACACAAAGGCAUUGUACUCAGCCCAAUUCUUGCAUGCCUUUCUUAACAAGUUUUCCCCUUUUUAAACCCCUUCCUUCCCCCCACCAAAUUGAAGUGGUUACUUUGGAUAGGCAUCCAAUCAUUUCCCCUUCACUAGUUUUGGUUAAUAAAGUCAUUUUCUUUCUACCAGACCUCACUCUUGUUACUGGACUCUGUACGCAGUGAGCAUCCGGACCUGUGUUCAGUUACAAACCAAUGUCCACAGUUUACAUUAGGGUUCACUCAGUGCUGUGCAUGCUAUGGGCUUGAACAAAUGUAUCAUGCCAUGCAGCCACCGUUGCAGUAUCAUCCAAAAAAGCUGUGCUUAUUGCUUUCCUAAAAGCAUGAGGCUUCUGGAGUUCCGUUCUACAGGAAGAGAGAAGAGAAAUGGAAUGAACCCUAGGAUUCAUUGCAGCAUUAUUCACAAUGGCCAAGAUGGAAACAACCUCGGUGGCUGUCUACAGAUGAAUGGAGAAAGAAAAAUGAUAUUAGGCAGCCAUAAAAAAGAAAGAAAUGCUGCCAUCUUCAACAACAUGCGUGAACCUAGAGAACACUGGACUAAGUAAAACAAGUCAGACACAGGAGGACAUUUGGC